UACAUGGGGUGCAAACGUUGCUCGGAAUCAUUGGGCGUAAAGCGCGCGUAGGCGGUUACUUAAGUCGAAUGUGAAAGCCCUCGGCUUAACCGAGGAAGUGCAUCCGAAACUGAGUAGCUAGAGUACGAAAGAGGGUCGCGGAAUUCCCGGUGUAGAGGUGAAAUUCGUAGAUAUCGGGAGGAACACCGGUGGCGAAGGCGGCAUCCUGGACCAACACUGACGCUGAGUGAGCGAAAGCCAGGGGAGCAAACGGG
rnacentral:rRNA from 1 species